GACAGAGGUGCCAAGCGUUAGGCGGAAUCACUGGGCUUAAAGCGUGUGUAGGCGGAUUCCUAAGUACCUUGUGAAAUCCCACGGCUCAACCGUGGAACUGCUCGGUAUACUGGGUAUCUUGAGCCACUUAGGGGCGACCGGAACAAAUGGUGGAGCGGUGAAAUGCGCAGAUAUCGGGAAGAACACCCGUGGCGAAGGCGGCUCUCUGGGACGGUACUGACGCUGAGACGCGAGAGCGUGGGGAGCAAACCGG
rnacentral:rRNA from 1 species